rnacentral:rRNA from 1 species
GACGAACGCUGGCGGCGUGCCUAAUACAUGCAAGUCGAACGCUUCUUUCCUCCCGAGUGCUUGCACUCAAUUGGAAAGAGGAGUGGCGGACGGGUGAGUAACACGUGGGUAACCUACCCAUCAGAGGGGGAUAACACUUGGAAACAGGUGCUAAUACCGCAUAACAGUUUAUGCCGCAUGGCAUAAGAGUGAAAGGCGCUUUCGGGUGUCGCUGAUGGAUGGACCCGCGGUGCAUUAGCUAGUUGGUGAGGUAACGGCUCACCAAGGCCACGAUGCAUAGCCGACGUGAGAGGGUGAGCGGCCACACUGGGACUGAGACACGGCCCAGACUCCUACGGGAGGCAGCAGUAGGGAAUCUUCGGCAAUGGACGAAAGUCUGACCGAGCAACGCCGCGUGAGUGAAGAAGGUUUUCGGAUCGUAAAACUCUGUUGUUAGAGAAGAACAAGGACGUUAGUAACUGAACGUCCCCUGACGGUAUCUAACCAGAAAGCCACGGCUAACUACGUG